UCUUCAGGAUUAAUGGCUUUCAAUAGUUCUAAUAACAAUUUAUAAUUUUAUGUAUUACGACGUUGUGACUUUGACGUUAGUUUGACGCUCGUAAAAACGCUCAUCAUAGACUAAAGUAUUAGUUUUUUCUAAAAGAUGUUGUAGAAUGAGCGUUUGACUCAGUCGUGUCAACUUGGCUACCAAUUUAAAAUGACUUACGCCGAGCCGUCAACGAUUGUAGAAAGACGUUCGAUACGAAACGUUUGUAACUUGGCUAGGCCUUCUGAUUACAUCUCUUUGUCA